UACGUAGGGGGCUAGCGUUGUCCGGAAUCAUUGGGCGUAAAGAGCGCGUAGGCGGCUGGAAUAGUCCGGUGUGAAAUCCACAGGCUUAACCUGUGAAUGCCGCUGGAAACUGUCUGGCUAGAGUCCGGAAGGGGCGAGUGGAAUUCCUGGUGUAGCGGUGAAAUGCGUAGAUAUCGGGAGGAACACCAAUGGCGAAGGCAGCUCUCUGGGACGGUACUGACGCUGAGACGCGAAAGCGUGGGGAGCGAACAGG
rnacentral:rRNA from 1 species